CACACACACACUUUGCAUUGGCAGUCCAUGCUUCAGUGCUCUGCGAGUGUUUAUAGCCCUGUGACUUUAACACUUCAUGACUGAGAGCUGCUGCUCAGCAACUUCACCCACAGCAACCAUGACUUUGAUCAGCGUCUUCAUCUGCACACUGGUCCUCUGGACUCAAGGAUCCAGAGCUCAGGGGACUGUGACUCAGACUCCUUCAGUGCAAACUGUUGUUCCAGGAAACACAGUCGCCAUCAACUGUAGGUUCAGUAACAGUGUGGAUAGUGGUACCAGUGUACACUGGUACCUGCAGAAACCUGGAGAAGCUCCUAAACUCCUGAUCUAUGAGACUAGUAAAUUACACUCAGGUACUCCAGCUCGUUUCAAUGGCAGUGGAUCUGAUACUGACUUCACUCUGACCAUCAGUGGAGUCCAGCCUGAAGAUGCAGGAGAUUACUACUGUAAGGGUGAACAUUAUGUCAGUGGUAGCUGGGUGUCACACAGUGUUAGAGUGUCGUACAAAAACCUCGGUCAGUGAGAGUGCACAGAGAAGCACUGCUGCAGCUGGGAGCGACUGCAGGUGCUGAGGGGGAGGAUGUGAUACAACACAAUGAUACACACUGUGGACGAGAGAAAACACACCACACUAACUCACUAAUCACACACACAUCUGUGAGAGGAGUCCACCUUUCUCAGCUGUCGAUCAUUUUUAGUAAACAUAAUAUAUUAGUGAUAGUGGAUAUGGGACGUAAACUCAUAAACUCUUAAACUCUUAAACUCACUGAAGUCCAGCUUGAAGAUGCAGGUCACUUUACACUAGUCUCCUGGGAGAAGCUUUACAACACGCAUUACGUUACACCACGGAUACAGUUUCAGUGGAUAUUUAAUGCUGAUAUAAUUUCAGUUUUUGCUUGUGCAGUCA